UACAGAGGUCUCGAGCGUUAGUCGGAUUCAUUGGGCUUAAAGCGUGCGUAGGCGGAUGUGCAGGCGUCGUGUGAAAGCUCUCGGCUAAACCGGGAGAGGUCGUCGGAUACUGGCAAACUAGAGGACGGUAGAGGCGUGUGGAAUUCCGGGUGUAGUGGUGAAAUGCGUAGAGAUCCGGAGGAACACCAGUGGCGAAGGCGACACGCUGGGCCGUACCUGACGCUAAAGCGCGACAGCAUGGGGAGCGAACGGG
rnacentral:rRNA from 1 species